rnacentral:rRNA from 1 species
UCUUUGUGUGCAGUAAAGAAAGGCUCUGUUCUCUUAACAAGGAUAGAAACUAUAACGACAUACAAAAACCAACGUGGACAACCCAGAUCUUGAACUCCAGAACAAUCUGACACUCCAGUGUCUGCUAAUGACAUGUGUUCCCUUGCUGAAUGGCCAGCCCAUGUUCGCCGCAACCGUGCGCUACUACAGGAUGAAGCUAGUGGACAGAAGAAGAAAGGGCGAGGUGUUCAAAAAGGUUUUAAAGCAUCUAAGAAGCGUUUUGCCAAUGGAUCUGCAAAGCUAAAUAUUACAUUCUCUGAAAAAUUGGGUGGUACAGUAGGAAUGAACUAUCGUUCGUUCAAGGAUGACGUGGUAGUCAUAAUGAAAAGAAAGUUACCACUCAUUGGAGUGAGGACGUGGUCGGACAUUCACCCUACCAUUCAUCGACUCAUUGUUGCAGACAUGAUAGACAGAUGGGACUUGGAAGAUACACCAGAAACAGAAGAAAAAGUUCUCAAAAUUGCGAAAGAGAGAUAUAGAGGUUGGCGAUCAACUCUAAGCUCCACUUACAAGGCAUACAAAACAGAUGCAGCUAGAUUGGCUAAUCUGCCGGAAGAUUUGCAACUAGAAGAGUGGGAAUGGAUGAUUGAGUACUUUGGCACUGAUUCAAAAUUUCAGGAUCGCAGCCAAAAGAACACCGAUAACCGUAAGAAACAGAAGACAAAACACAUCAUCGGAUCAAAAUCUUACUCGCAAGUUAGUUUUGAGAAGAGAAACUUGGAAACUGGAGAAGAGCCAGAUUGUAUUGCUCUGUGGGAACUCACCCACACGAACGAUGGAACAUGGUCUAACACAGAUUCCCAGAAUGUUUACGACAAAGCACUUCAAGAGGUUAAAAUCAAAGAAACUGAAACUGAAGGUCCACUUUCAAGUGAGUAG